GGAGGAGUCAGGGCGAAUUGUUGACAUGUGAGCUGCCGUUUUUCAUGUAUCCACUGCAGGCACUUCUGAUAGUAAUAAAGUCAGGCAGCGUAAAAGUGGAUCUCGAAGAUGCACAGGUCUCCACACAGGAGCGAAGCCGUCACUCUGGAGCAUCUACAGCAGCAAAGAAGUCUGAAGAAACGUCAAAACUGCUGGCCGCCUGACAAAGUGAUCUGCGGAGUGUCGGCUCUCCGGCAAAGAGAUUCGCAGAGUGUCGGGGUCCCAGCAGAGGUCUGAAGAUUGUAACCCGCAGAGCGACGUUUAUGAUCAAUUAUUUGUAUUUUAUUUUGAAUUUCAUUUUUCCCCAUCCACCAGAUAGAAUUAGCCUCUUAAUGCCCAGAGGGAAGGGCAAUUCUUCCAGCCAUGGCUUCUCUAAAGGUUUCCUCCAACGCUGGGGUUUUUCCUUUCCUGCGGGCUGGAGAAUGACUCUUUGUGAGUCCAGAGGUGGCCCCCUCUCGACCUGCUUUAUGGUCGAUUAUGUAGAAAAAAAUUGAUAUAUAAUAAACUUUUAUUAUUCUCAUAA